GGAAUUGACGGGGCCCGCACAAGCGGUGGAGUAUGUGGUUUAAUUCGAAGCAACGCGAAGAACCUUACCAGGUCUUGACAUACCGGGCAAAGCCUCAGAGAUGAGGAAAUAGUUAUGCCGGAUACAGGUGGUGCAUGGUUGUCGUCAGCCCGUGUCGUGAGAUGUUGGGUUAAGUCCCGCAACGAGCGCAACCCUUGUCUUCAGUUACCAUCAUUCAGUUGGGGACUCUGGAGAGACUGCCGGUGACAAACCGGAGGAAGGUGGGGAUGACGUCAAAUCAUCAUGCCCCUUAUGACCUGGGCUACACACGUACUACAAUGGCGUAUACAACGGGAAGCGAAAUGGUGACAUGGAGCAAAUCUCACAAAGUACGUCUCAGUUCGGAUUGAAGUCUGCAACUCGACUUCAUGAAGUCGGAAUCGCUAGUAAUCGCGGAUCAGCAUGCCGCGGUGAAUACGUUCUCGGGCCUU
rnacentral:rRNA from 1 species